CUCAUCGAUACAAUUAGGCAGCACCCCAUACUGUACGACAAAAGGCACUUGAAUUUCGAGAACAUUGCCUACAAGGAGCAGCUAUGGGACGUGAUCCGGAAAGAAAUGGGAGUGAGUGCCCCUUGCACACGACCACUGGCAGCCGUGGGCACAGCAGGCCGUCCAAGCUUUCUGUGGGAAGCAUGUCGUCGUGCGGCGAGAGCAGCGGCUGCCACCGGGGCCGCCGACCCACCGCGCCGCGCCGCGCGAUGGGCUCCCGAAGCCACUGGUUCGACGACACGCUCUACACGCGAAGCGGCGUCAGUGCCCGACAGUCCAUGACCGCGAGCCACAUAGGGAGCCAGUUUGGAACCGCAACCAAGAAGAAGACCAGAAG